rnacentral:tRNA from 1 species
UGUGGUGUAGCUCCGUGGUAUGGCACUUGCCUAGCAUGCAAGAGGCCCUGGGUUUGAUCCCCAGCAUCAUAA